GACGAACGCUGGCGGCGUGCUUAACACAUGCAAGUCGAACGAAGAGCGAUGGAAGCUUGCUUCUAUCAAUCUUAGUGGCGAACGGGUGAGUAACGCGUAAUCAACCUGCCCUUCAGAGGGGGACAACAGUUGGAAACGACUGCUAAUACCGCAUACGAUCUAAUCUCGGCAUCGAGGAUAGAUGAAAGGUGGCCUCUACAUGUAAGCUAUCACUGAAGGAGGGGAUUGCGUCUGAUUAGCUAGUUGGAGGGGUAACGGCCCACCAAGGCGAUGAUCAGUAGCCGGGCGGAGAGGAUGAACAGCAAGAGGGGGAAUGAGACAAGGCCCAGACGAAAAGAGGAGGCAGCAGUGGGGGAUCGUGCGAAAGGGAGGGGAGGUAGAAGGAGAAACGCCGCGUGGGUGAGGACGGUCAUCGGGAUGAAAAGGAAGGUUAACCGGGACGAAAGGAAUUCAUGCGAAUAGUGAGAAGGAUAGAAGGUACCGAAAUAGAAAGCCACGGAUAACUACGUG
rnacentral:rRNA from 1 species